UUAUGACAUUGUUUUAUAUGAAUCAUUAUGGCUUAAUUUACUUUAUUUAAUUAUUAAUAAAUGACAGUAUGAAUAGUUCAAAUAGUCAUUUACUAUAUGUGGUGUUAAAAAUGGUAAAAAAUUAAAUUAAUAACCUGUGACUGCCACAAUUAUUGAUUUGUUGGUAAUUACCUGAUAUGCAGGUACAUUUUUAAUUAUUGUUAUAAUAUUUGUAAAAACAAAUAACUGUAAUUUAUCAUAAAUGGUUAAAAAUUGCCGUAUGGUGAAGCCAUAUGUUGGCCUUUAAUAUAACGUUUCAACUCAUGUCUGCAAUUCCUACAAACAGGUUAACAAGUGACCAUUAAACAUACAUUUACAUUGUAUGGGUCCAUAUUAUAUAAACAGUUCAUAAGAUAUUAAAGAAUAAACAAGGAAAUAAUGUUAUUUAACCUUUACUUAGUUGAAGAAAUAUUAAAUUGUGAUUAUUUCACCAAGUGUUUUAGACAACCUGUAGAAAAUAUGGCAGUAUUAUCAACUUAAUGCACUUUAAAUACCAGUUUUAAAGCGCUUCAGGAAAGGUAAUGGAUACUAUUAUGGACGUUGACUCUGCAACCUACAAGAACCAGCAGGACGGAGGAGCUUUUUGAUUGGCCGUGUUUCAGUUUGAAGAGCUGCAGCAGCGAAGGCCACGGCUUCGUCUGCUGGACCUUGUUUGACCCGAGGAAAAAACUGACAAAGUCUCCGCUGAGCCUCAAAUCCACCGCUGAGCGACACCCUGCAUGAGACUAUAACGCAGAAUGACAGACCGCAGGGCACAGCGUUUGCCAAAAGCAUCAAAGGUCUGAUGUGGUCAGUUUCUCUUGAUUUCAUUCCCGGGGAUACCAUCUGUCCACCAGCGUCCGAUGGCAGGACCCGCUUCAAAGAUGUUCUUUAAAUGAGCAGUGAAAUGAAACUCAAUAGUGGACAGCGGAGCCAGAAGAGAAAGAGAACCUGGAUAAGGGCUACAGCAUGCUACAGCUCUGCUUCCCCUCAACUGGAAUUGAAAUUGUUGGCUGCAGCGUCUUACCGAACAACACUCGUUCUUCAGACCAGCGGCUCUUUGUGUGCAGAGAGCGUCCUCCUCGCCUCUGUUUUAAUGCAAACUUGUUAGACCAAACUCGACGUACGAUGACCAUUUUCUCACACUUGCUGCAUGAAUUAUGUUUCGACACUGGUGUUUUUUUUUCUUCUUUAAGUCAAGAAAACAAGAAGAACACAUUUUAAUAUUAAUGAAAAGUGCCACGGUCGAUGUUUUAAAAAAGAGCUUUGUGAGCCUAUUUUAUUGCAAAAGCAGAAGAAAAAGAUUUUAAAAAAGAAGCGUAUUUAUUUUGUAAUUUUUGUACAUUGUGUUUUGGAAGUUAUUGUCAAUGUUGCUGUUUAGGUGCCACUUGUGAGACACCCUCCUGACAAAUAGGAGGAUCACAAGUCGCCUGUGUUGCACAAAAUGUGAUAAAUAGAAGCACGGUAGCCAAAAAAAAAGCAUGCAGAAGGCUGUACCAGCACCGCAGACUUUAAUAUUUAUAACUUACUAAUGGGAGGAAAAAUACACCAAUUUACUUGUUUACUCUAACCUCAGAUCAUUUAGCUUUUUCUCUCACUGUAAUGUCCACAUAUUCGUUAUGAUCUCUAUAUGCAUGUUACCCCAUGCUUGUGCACACAGCAAAUUAUUUUACAAAACUAACACAAAGAAUAACAGGGCAGUGGGUUCCUUCACAUUUCAGUCAUAAUGAGUUCAAAUAAAACUUUGUACUUCAA